AACGCACAUUGCGCCCCUUGGUAUUCCAUGGGGCAUGCCUGUUCGAGCGUCAUUUGUACCCUUCAAGCUCUGCUUGGUGUUGGGUGUUUGUCUCGCCUCUGCGGUAGACUCGCCUUAAAUGUCUCCGGCUGUAUUGACCCGUCUCCCAGCGUUGUGGCAACUAUUUCGCAGUGGAGUUCGAGUUGGAUCGGCCAAGUUAAAUCUUUACAAAGGUUGACCUCGGAUCAGGUAGGGAUACCCGCUGAACUUAA
rnacentral:misc_RNA from 1 species